UACGGAGGGUGCAAGCGUUAUCCGGAUUCACUGGGAUUAAAGGGUGCGUAGGAGGGCAGGUAAGUCAGUGGUGAAAUCUUCGAGCUUAACUCGGAAACUGCCGUUGAUACUAUCUGUCUUGAAUACCGUGGAGAUGAGCGGAAUAUGUCAUGUAGCGGUGAAAUGCUUAGAUAUGACAUAGAACACCAAUUGCGAAGGCAGCUCGUUACACGAAUAUUGACUCUGAGGCACGAAAGCGUGGGGAUCAAACAGG
rnacentral:rRNA from 1 species